UACGGAGGGAGCUAGCGUUGUUCGGAAUUACUGGCGUAAAGCGCACGUAGGCGGCUUUGUAAGUUAGAGGUGAAAGCCCGGGGCUCAACUCCGGAACUGCCUUUAAGACUGCAUCGCUUGAAUCCAGGAGAGGUGAGUGGAAUUCCGAGUGUAGAGGUGAAAUUCGUAGAUAUUCGGAAGAACACCAGUGGCGAAGGCGACUCACUGGACAUGUAUUGACGCUGAGGUGCGAAAGCGUGGGGAGCAAACAGG
rnacentral:rRNA from 1 species